CUAGUUCUUUGAAAUGUGAUGUCAGGUCCUUAAUAUGUAAGCUUUCUAUUUUUUUGAUGCAGGCCUUUAGGCUAUUAACUUCCCUUUUAGUACUACAUUUGAUGUAUCUCACAGGUUUUAUUAUAUUGUGUUUCUAUUUCCAUCUUUUUUCCCACAAAUUUUUAAUUUUCAUCUUAAUUUUUUUUUUUUUUUUUUGAGAUAGGUUUUACACUGUCACCCAGGCUGGAGUGUAGUGGCACAGUGUUGGCUCACUGCAACUUCUGCCUUCCAGGCUCAAACGAUCGUUUUAUAUUAGCCUCCCGAGUAGCUAGGACCAUAGGUGCACACCACCACACCUAGCUAUUUUUUCAUAUUUUUUUUUGUAGGGACAGGGUUUUGCCAUGUUGCCCAGGCUAGUGUUAAACUUCUUACCUCAGGUGGUCCACCUGUCUCAGCCUCCCAAAGUGCUGGGAUUACAGGUGGGAGCCACCACCCCUGGUCAACCAUCAUAAUUACUUCAUUUACAUAGUCACUGUUGAGGAGUAUGUUAUUUAAAUUCUUUGUAAAUUUAUAGUUUCUGAAAUUUCUCUUGAUACUGAUUUGUAGUUUUAUUCUACUGUGGUCUAAGUAGGUAGUUCGUAUAAUUUUGAUUUGGGGGGAUACUUUGUUGAUUUGCCAGAUUUCCUAUCUCAAUGGUCUCUCUAAUGCUGUGAGUAGAAUGUUGAAUUUCUCCACUAUUAUUGUAUUACUGUCUAUCUCGUUCUAUAGAUUUAAUAAUAUUUCUUUGUAAAUCAGGGUGCUGUGAUGUUGGGUUCAUAUAUAUUUAGAAUUGUUAUAUCUUUUGGCUGAAAUGAUUUCUUUAUUAUUGGAUGAUGAUCUUUAUCCUUUUUUGUUACAGCUUUUUAAUUUAAAGUCUGUUUUAUUUGAUGUAAGUAUAGAUACUCCUAUUUACUUUUGGUUUCUGUUUGUGUUAAUAUAUUCCCCCCCAUUUGCCUUUAAUCUAUAUGUGUCUUACAAGUAAGGUGAGAUUUUUGUAGGCAACAUAGAUUUGCGUUAUUUUUUCUCAUUCAUUUCAUAAAUCUAUACUUUUUUUUUUUUUUUGAGACGGAGUCUUGCUCCAUCGCCAGGCUGGAGUGCAGUGGCGCGAUCUCGUCCCACUGCUCACUGCAACCUCUGCCUCCCCUAUUGAAGUGAUUCUCCUGUCUCAGCCUCCUGAGUAGCUGGGACUACAGGCACACACCACCACGCUCAGCUAAUUUUUGUAUUUUCAGAAGAGACGGGGUUUCAUCAUAUUCACCAGGCUGGUCUUGAUCUCUUGACCUCGUGAUACCCUCACCUCACCCUCCCAAAGUGCUGGGACUACAGGCGUGAGCCACCGCACCCAACCAAAUCUAUACAUUUCAAUGAAGGAUUUAAUUUAUUUAUAUUCAAGGUAAAUAUUAAUAUGUAAGGUUUUGUUACUAUCAUAAUGUUAAUUAUUUUCUUGUCUUAUUUUUUUAUCUGUCUUUGUAGUUUAAUAAAAUUCUGUCAUGUUGUGAUUUGAUUUAUUUCACUUUGUUUUGUUUUGUAAGACCUGUUAGUUUUAUACUUUUAUAUAUUUUAAUAAUGGUGAAUAUCAAUCUCUUGUUUUUAUAUUAGAAUUUUUUUUAACAUCUUUCAUAGGCCCAGUCUAGUGGUAAUUAGUUUCCCCAGCAUUUAUUUGUCAGGGUAAGACUUUAUAUUCUUCAUUUGUGAAGGUUAUUCUAGCUUGAUAUAAAAUUUUUGGCUGGCAGUUUUCUUUUUUUUCAACACUCUAAAAGUGCCAUCCCAUUCUCUUCUGGUCAGUAAAGUUUCUGCUGAGAAGUCUGCUUUUAAUCUAAUGUGGUUUUCUUUAUAAAUUACUAGAUGCUUUUCUUUUGCUUAUUUUAGAAUUACUUCCUUCACUUUGACUUUAGAUAUUCUGAUUAUCAUGUGCCAUUAUGAUGUCUGUUUUGCAAUAUAUUUUGUUUAUAUUUUGUUGUAUUUUGUUUGCUGAGCUUCCUGUGUAUGUAUGUCUAAUUCUAUUGCUAGAGUUGGAAAGUUUUCAUCAAUUGUUUUCUUAAAUAGGUUUUCUAAACUUUUUGAUGUUUUUUCUUCCUCAGAAACACUGAUAAUUUUAAAGUUUAGUUACUUCAUGUAGUUGGAAACAAAGUCUUCAUUCUUUUUUAUUCUUUUCUCCUUAUUUUUGUCUGAGUGUAUUAUUUUAAAAGACCUGUUUAAAGGUUUGAAAAUUAUUUUUAUGUUUCUUCCAGUCUAUUAUUGAAUCUUUGAAUGUAUUUUCUUUUGCCUGCAAUAAAUCUUCAGUUCCAU
rnacentral:lncRNA from 1 species